rnacentral:rRNA from 1 species
UACUCCUACGGGAGGCAGCAGUGGGGAAUAUUGCACAAUGGGGGGAACCCUGAUGCAGCCAUGCCGCGUGAAUGAAGAAGGCCUUCGGGUUGUAAAGUUCUUUCGGUGACGAGGAAGGUUGAUAGGUUAAUAGCCUAUCAAAUUGACGUUAAUCACAGAAGAAGCACCGGCUAACUCCGUGCCAGCAGCCGCGGUAAUACGGGGGGUGCGAGCGUUAAUCGGAAUAACUGGGCGUAAAGGGCACGCAGGCGGUGACUUAAGUGAGAUGUGAAAGCCCCGAGCUUAACUUGGGAAUUGCAUUUCAUACUGGGUCGCUAGAGUACUUUAGGGAGGGGUAGAAUUCCACGUGUAGCGGUGAAAUGCGUAGAGAUGUGGAGGAAUACCGAAGGCGAAGGCAGCCCCUUGGGAAUGUACUGACGCUCAUGUGCGAAAGCGUGGGGAGCAAACAGGAUUAGAUACCCUGGUAGUCCACGCUGUAAACGAUGUCGAUUUGGGGAUUGGGCUUUGAGCUUGGUGCCCGUAGCUAACGUGAUAAAUCGACCGCCUGGGGAGUACGGCCGCAAGGUUAAAACUCAAAUGAAUUGACGGA